GACGAACGCUGGCGGCGUGCUUAACACAUGCAAGUCGAGCGGAGCGGCGAACGGGUGAGUAAAGCGUGAGUAACUGCCCCCCUCUCUGGGAUAACAGUUGGAAACGGCUGCUAAUACCGGAUAGUGGGGGAUGACUCGGGUCCUAUCAGCUUGUUGGUGGGGUAGUGGCCGAGCAAGGCGACGACGGGUAGCAGGACUGAGAGGGCGACCGGCCACAUGGGGCUGAGGUACGGCGCAAAGUCCUACGGGGGGCAGCAGGGGGGAAUAUUGCACAAUGGGGGAAACCCUGGUGCAGCAACGCGCGUGCGGGAGGACGGCCUUCGGGUUGUAAACCGCUUUCAGCCAUGACGCGGUAGUGGCAGAAGAAGCACCGGCUAACUACGUGCCAGCAGCCGCGGUAAUAC
rnacentral:rRNA from 1 species